GACGGAGGAUGCAAGUGUUAUCCGGAAUCACUGGGCGUAAAGCGUCUGUAGGUGGUUUAAUAAGUCAACUGUUAAAUCUUGAGGCUCAACCUCAAAAUCGCAGUCGAAACUAUUAGGCUAGAGUAUAGUAGGGGUAAAGGGAAUUUCCAAUGGAGCGGUGAAAUGCGUAGAGAUUGGAAAGAACACCGAUGGCGAAGGCACUUUACUGGGCUAUUACUAACACUCAGAGACGAAAGCUAGGGUAGCAAUGGGG
rnacentral:rRNA from 1 species